rnacentral:rRNA from 1 species
ACCGAGAUUCCCCCAGUAGCGGCGAGCGAACGGGGAGCAGCCCAGAGUCUGAAUCAGCAUGUGUGUUAGUGGAACGGUCUGGAAAGUCCGGCGAUACAGGGUGAUAGCCCCGUACACAAAAGUGCAUGUGUUGUGAACUCGAAGAGUAGGGCGGGACACGUGGUAUCCUGUCUGAAUAUGGGGGGACCAUCCUCCAAGGCUAAAUACUCCUGACUGACCGAUAGUGAACCAGUACCGUGAGGGAAAGGCGAAAAGAACCCCGGCGAGGGGAGUGAAAAAGAACCUGAAACCGUGUACGUACAAGCAGUGGGAGCCUCUUUAUGGGGUGACUGCGUACCUUUUGUAUAAUGGGUCAGCGACUUAUAUUCUGUAGCAAGGUUAACCGAAUAGGGGAGCCGAAGGGAAACCGAGUCUUAACUGGGCGUUAAGUUGCAGGGUAUAGACCCGAAACCCGGUGAUCUAGCCAUGGGCAGGUUGAAGGUUGGGUAACACUAACUGGAGGACCGAACCGACUAAUGUUGAAAAAUUAGCGGAUGACUUGUGGCUGGGGGUGAAAGGCCAAUCAAACCGGGAGAUAGCUGGUUCUCCCCGAAAGCUAUUUAGGUAGCGCCUCGUGAAUUCAUCUUCGGGGGUAGAGCACUGUUUCGGCUAGGGGGUCAUCCCGACUUACCAACCCGAUGCAAACUGCGAAUACCGAAGAAUGUUAUCACGGGAGACACACGGCGGGUGCUAACGUCCGUCGUGAA